AAGGUUUUAAGUUAAUAUAAACUAAUAAUCUUCAAAAUUAUCUAUAAAGAAAUUUCUUUAAGCCUUA
rnacentral:tRNA from 3 species